CCGAGUUUUCUACAACUCCCAACCCUUGCGAACCGUACCCCAGUCUGUUCUCGUUGCUUCCGGCGGGCCCUCUGAACCUUUUUUUAAGACAACUAGACCUUCUGAGCAAAAACAAACAAAUACAUUA
rnacentral:misc_RNA from 1 species